rnacentral:lncRNA from 12 species
UUUUUCUUUUUCCGUAUAGGGAGUGAGACAAGACCCUGAACACUUGUAUCAGGACCACUGGUGCAGAUGGAAAUACUGUGUUGUGUGGCUUAGCUAAUGACAUAUGGUUUAGUAUUGUAUACUUUUUGACUAGUCAAUUAAUUAAACCUUAAAUAGCCC